UUUAACGGACUUGGCGGCAAGAUAGCUUUUUAGAGGAACCUGCCCUGUAAACGAUGAACCACGAGGGCCCUACUUUUUUUAGUAAUAUCCAGUUUGUAUACCUCUGUUGUUAGUUAGAUUCUUGAGAGUAUUUUCAUAUAUGAAAAAAUCAUUGACUUCAAGUAAAGGUGCAGCUUAUAGAAAAGAUAGAGGUGGGUUACAUUUUAAAGAUAAAGGCGUAUAAGAUAAUUUAAAUAGUCUUUGAAGAUGGAUUUAACUGUAAAACUUAAGAAAGUUUGAUUAUAGCUCUAUCUUGUGUACACAC
rnacentral:rRNA from 1 species